GGAUCACUUCGUGUUAAGCAAAUAACUGACUGGUAUUUGGGAAAACUAGUUAUAAAGUUACCAGAAAAGAAGGCCGAGGAAAGAAUUGCUAGCAUGUUCUAUCUGUGUGUCAGAAAUUUUACACAGGUCUGGAAGCUAUAAAUCUGCAACCAAAGUGUCACAGGGCCACUCCCUCUGAAGGCUACAGCAAGGAAAGACUCCUUGCCUUUUCCUUGCUCCCAACAGCUUUCUCUCUAGGCCCAGAAAAAGCAACAAUACCAGCCAAGGCUGACCUCAGGACCAGCAGCAUUGAAAAAUGACCCCCUGCCCUGGUGCUGGCCAAUCAAUUAGUGGAGACUACAACAAUAAAAGGACACAGCUGGAAAACUGCUGGAUUUUCUAC